AAUACUUGGGUGGCGACCGGCGCACGGGUGAGUAACACGUAUCCAACCUGCCUCAUACUCGGGGAUAGCCUUUCGAAAGAAAGAUUAAUAUCCGAUAGCAUAUAUUUCCCGCAUGGGUUUUAUAUUAAAGAAAUUCGGUAUGAGAUGGGGAUGCGUUCCAUUAGUUUGUUGGGGGGGUAACGGCCCACCAAGACUACGAUGGAUAGGGGUUCUGAGAGGAAGGUCCCCCACAUUGGAACUGAGACACGGUCCAA
rnacentral:rRNA from 1 species